CAAUGAGGCAAGCCAAAGGGAUUUCUGGAUGUUCGCCCAGAAGAUCUGGAGAAGUGACUCCUUGCCCUUAUGAUAUGACCCACAGCAGGUCAUCAGGCAUUCAUUAACAUUCAUUAAGUGCCUGCUGUGUACCACAUCUGUCUCGGUCCUGAGAUUUCAAGCUGUGUAUCUGUGUGAAUCCAGACAUUCCUGACCUACUUCGAGCAAAACAACAUUGCAGCAGAUUGGAACAGGAGUGGCAGGAGAGUCCAGCUGUCUUCCACUGAGCCACGUAUCGAAGAGACUUGCAAAAAGGCAAGUCCAGCAGGAGACAUGUAAGGGAAGAAACGCAAUAAAACGAAGAAUAAAGAUGAGGGGAGACAGGGAUCAUGAGGAAGAAGGGUGACGAGAAGAAGAGAUCGUGGCUAACAGCUUACGAGAGACUCAUAACAAAGAGACGAAGUCCGAUGAUUCGGGUUAAGGAUGGUCAGCAGAGGGCACGGAGGUGGAGGAUGUGAGAAGCGAAGAAGCAGGAAAAUGGGAGUCGGGACGUCUUAGAGAAAAGCGAUGACUUGGCACCCAAUCUAGAGCUAACAUCGUCGUCAGUGUUUAUGUGGUGAGGAAACAGCGAGGAGUGGGAACAGUGACACUUAGUGCCCGGGCAGAGUAGCGUAUGUCAGGAACUUCCAUCUCACUACCGGUUAGGAAAGCUUCAGAGAGUCGCUUGAUUUUCAUGGGCAAUUUGAGUGAAAGGAAAGAAGACAGAAAGCUGAGUCAGGAAAGAUCUUGAAGGUAGAGGGGUCCUCUUGGCAAAAGGAGGGAAAGUAAAUUGGAUUGUGUAUUGGCACCAAGUGGGAUUUGAGCCAAUAUGCCUUAAAGCAAAAUUUCCCCAAAGUUUUCCAAAUCUAAACACAGCCUAUACGAUUACUUACUUGAUUUGUUUAAACCGUAGACCUUCUGUUUGAAAAUAGCUUAUUUAAAAAGGAAAUUAACAACCUAAACAGUAAUAUCUGUUUCAUGUGCUGGUUAUGUUUUUUCCCUCAUCCACAUUAAAAUAAAUAAAAUAUUUGCCAUGGAACCACCUAAGAUAAUAUCUCAUGUCACUGCUGCUUUGCAUGCACAGGAAGUGAGUGAGUCCCAGGCCAUGGGGACGACAGGAGGGGCCUCGUCUGAUCCGGAGUGGUGGGAAGCUCCUGACGGAUCCUCCCGAGGCAGGGACUGAAGCAGAGCAGUGGGCCUGAGGCCUGGGAGAAAGGGGGCCGAGGGGAGGAAAUGGCCCCUUGAGGUCAGAGUGCACGGGAGUCGCACUCUGUCACUUCUGCCUCAUUCUGCUGAUCAAAGCAACUCAAAAACCAGCGCAGAUUCAAGAAGCGCGGAGGGGACUGGACUCCACUUCUGGAUGGGGUGAACGGAGAAGAAUCUGUGGCCAUUUUAAUCCACCUCAACUCAUAAUAACAGGCGCAACAACUCGAGAGUCAUCAACAUAAUCCAAAGGAGUGGUGUUAAUUUGGGAUGUCAUUGUCAUGUUCCUUUGAAGAUAUAAUGUGUUUGGGGCUGAGUUUAUGGACCAAGGUCAGGCAGAAGAGGAACGGAACAUAUGGACACUGUUAUUCGAACUCUCGCCUGUAUUUUGGGAAGCCGCUUCUCACAGAUCCCGCCUGACGCGAGGGCGCACACUCACAUGCACACGCCUCCAGGUCUGUUGCCGGUUUCUUGCACUACCUUUGUUCAC